GACGAACGCUGGCGGCGCGCUUAACACAUGCGAGUCGAGCGAGAACCAGGGCUUCGGCCCUGGGGAAAGCGGCGAACGGGUGAGUAACACGUGAGUCAUCCACCCUCGGCACCGGGGUAGCCCGGGGAAACCCGGAUUAAUACCGGAUGGCCCGUCUGCCCUUCGGGGCAGCCGGAAAAGGUAGCUUCGGCCUCCGGCCGAGGACGAGCUCGCGGCGGAUUAGCUUGUUGGCGGGGUAACGGCCCACCAAGGCGACGAUCCGUAGCUGGUCUGAGAGGACGAUCAGCCACACUGGGACUGAGACACGGCCCAGACUCCUACGGGAGGCAGCAGUGGGGAAUCUUGCGCAAUGGGCGAAAGCCUGACGCAGCGACGCCGCGUGCGGGAAGAAGGCCUUCGGGUUGUAAACCGCUUUCAGGAGGGACGAAGCCACUCGGGUGAAUAGCCCAGAGGGUGACGGUACCUCCAGAAGAAGCCCCGGCUAACUACGUGCCAGCAGCCGCGGUAACAC
rnacentral:rRNA from 1 species